CUCGACCCCAGGUCACGCGGGGUUGCCAGCUGAAUUUAA
rnacentral:rRNA from 1 species